UGUGUGUUAGUGGAAGCGUCUGGAAAGGCGCGCGAUACAGGGUGACAGCCCCGUACACAAAAAUGCACAUGCUGUGAGCUCGAUGAGUAGGGCGGGACACGUGGUAUCCUGUCUGAAUAUGGGGGGACCAUCCUCCAAGGCUAAAUACUCCUGACUGACCGAUAGUGAACCAGUACCGUGAGGGAAAGGCGAAAAGAACCCCGGCGAGGGGAGUGAAAAAGAACCUGAAACCGUGU
rnacentral:rRNA from 1 species